UAGCGGCCACAGCGACAGGGAAACACCCGGUCUCAUCUCGAACCCGGAAGUUAAGCCUGCCAGCGAUGUU
rnacentral:rRNA from 1 species